GUUUGUGUUAGUGUGAUCUGUCUGAAGUGAAACAGACAGAGGAGAUCCCUAAACGUUAAUAGGGAGAAACCUGAGCAUGAGAUUGUCAAUACAUUCUUCUAAGUUAUAGAGUGUGUCACAUGCCUGUUUACACUCCAGCAUAGCUUGCUGGGAACUUCCAUUUGUGUACAGUGGUACCUCGGGUUACAGACACUUCAGGAUACAGACUCCGCUAACCCAGAAAUAGUACCUCGGGUUAAGAACUUUGCUUCAGGAUGAGAACAGAAAUUGCGUGGCAGUGGCAGCGGGAGGCCCCAUUAGCUAAAGUGGUACCUCAGGUUAAGAACAGUUUCAGGUUAAGAACGGACCUCCAGAACGAAUUAAGUUCUUAACCUGAGGUAUCACUGUAUAUGAAAGUAAAGUUGGGGUUUUUUGGAAAAUAUAAAGACUCUGGACAUUACAUAUCAUCACAAUUUAUUUAUCUAUGUAUACACAACAUUGCUUGCAGGCUUCCCACAGGGACCUGCUUGGCCAGGGUGAGAACAUGUUGAUGGGCUUUUGGUCUAAUUCAGUAGGAUUAUAUAUAUAUAUAUUCUCAUAAACAAUGGUGAUAUGAUUAUUGUGAAGCCAGAAACCAUCGCCAAUGGCCACUCCAAUUCUUAGAAUCAUAGGGUGGUAGUACUCAUGCUAUGGCCCACAGGCAACAAUAUAUUUUAGUAGCGGAUUUCUCUGCCGACGGCUACUAGCCUCCACUGAAUGCCACUUUGCUGGGAAUCACAAGUAAGGAGAGGUCGUGUCAUAGUCCCAUUGCCGAGCAACAGUAUUGAGGACAAAGAGAAGAGUCUCUGAAAUAUACCCUUGGCAGCACCAGCAUAUGAAGUCAAGUCUGUUCUGAGGGUUGGACAAACAGCAGUCCACAUAGCCAGACAAUCCAGCGGUCGAGGAGUCUGAUGUUCACGAAGCCGUGGGUCCAGAUGGACAGCAGGAAGCAACAAGGUUGGACCAGGAACCACAGGCAGGGGCGGAGCAAGGUGGGUGCGGUGGUGGGUGCAGACUGCCCUGGAUGUCACCUCAUGGGGGGUGACAAAAUGUUGUGUGGCACAGCCGUAGGGGGGCUUUUUUGUUGAAAAAAAGCUCAACAGCUCUGGCUCCCCCCAAAAAUCUGAAAGCAAACCAUUUUUGCAGGCAAAAAAAUCAAUAAAAAAAAUCAAUGUGUGGUGGGGUGAAAAGGACUUUUUUGCACCGGGUACCACUUGACCUUGCUACGCCACUGACCACAGGCAUUGUUUCCAUCCCCUGUCUGCUGCUGAAAUCUUUGUUUCAGAAGGCUGAAGCCAGCUGGUUCUCAUCCAUGCCUUCUUCUCCAUGUCUUUGAAGGCUGAUCAGCUGCAGGUGGAGUCACCCCGCCUGCUCCCAUUCCCAGGUUGCUGUUCAGCUGGUGAAGCUGACUCCUUGCCCAUGACAGGUUGUUGCAUUCAGGUCAUGCUUACAGGCUUAUCAUGGAAUCAUAGAGUUGGGAGGGACCACAGAGGUCCUUUAGUCCAACCCCUUGCAAGGCUGGAAUCUUUUGUCCAAUGUGGGGCUCGAACCCACAACCUUGAGAUUCAGAGCCUCAUGCUCUGCCGACUGAGCUGUCUUCUCACAGGCAUCUCGCUGGCCAAUGAGAGAAGAGGAUGCUAGAAUAGAUGAGCCCCUGGCUUGAUCCAGCAGGGCUUUUCCGACGUUCUUAUAUUACCCACCGAUCGCCCAGCAAACACAAAGCACUUCCAUCAAUUUGCAGGAGAUAUUUGCUGAUCUCCCUGACUCUGUGUGGUUCUCAGGUGGUCGUGCAAGUUUGCAUACAUGUUUAUCCAGCCUGGGCUGAAUCAGCACUUUGCAUGCUUACUAGGUCAUGAGCCUUCAGGCAGGACCCUGUUUAUUUUUAUUCCGUGUAUAUAAUGAGCACCAAGCGCAGUGCAGGUACUUUUAUAAAUAUUAAAUGGCGAUACUUUAUUUUAAUUUCCUAGGAUUGCAGGAGGAAUGAGAUUUUAAUGAAAGGAGACCCAGUAGGAAUGUGAGCAACGAGCUCAUAAGCACUUGCUGGAUUGUGUAGCUACAAGCUACAUGGUGGAAUGACUACAAAAAGUAGAGUGGGAGGGGGGGGAUCCGUUUUGACAUGAGGCAGACAAUUCCACAGAGCAAGCACAUGCCGUAUGACAAGUUAUCCAUUUCUCUUAAUAUGGGGCUCUGGGGGCAUGGGGUGGUGCAGAGAGCCCGAGAGCCUAUAUAUAUAUAUAUAUUCUUUCCUUGAUUUAAUGAACAGUUUCCUUGCGUAAUGAGCUCCCUCAGUACUUGGGGUAGGGGUGGGGGGAGACAAGAAGUAGUGAGAACAGAAUAGCUAGUGCUGAAAGUUUUUAAAAUGUAGAAGUCAUGAUGGAUGGAGAGAGAGAGAGAACAUCUAUCUCCUUACUUCUUGUUGUUUAGUCGUUUAGUCGUGCCCGACUCUUCGUGACCCCAUGGACCAGACCACACCAGGAACUCCUGUUUUCCACUGCCUCCUGCAAUUUGGUCAAACUCAUGCUGGUAGCUUCGAGAACACUAUCCAACCAUCUCGUCCUCUGUCGUCCCCUUCUCCUUGUGCCCUCCAUCUUUCCCAACAUCAGGGUCUUUUCCAGGGAGUCUUCUCUUCUCAUGAGGUGGCUAAAGUACUGGAGCCUCCACUUCAGGAUCUGUCCUUCCAGUGAGCACUCAGGGCUGAUUUCCUUAAGAAUGCAUAGGUUUGAUCUUCUUGCAGUCCAUGGGACUCUCAAGAGUCUCCUCCAGCACCAUAAUUCAAAAGCAUCAAUUCUUUGGCGAUCAGCCUUCUUGAUGGUCCAGCUCUCACUUCCAUACAUCACUACUGGGAAAACCAUAGCUUUUACUAUACGGACCUUUGUUGGCAAGGUGAUGUCUCUGCUUUUUCAGAUGCUGUCUAGGUUUGUCAUUGCUUUUCUCCCAAGAAGCAGGCAUCUUUUAAUUUCGUGGCUGCUGUCACCAUCUGCAGUGAUCAUGGAGCCCAAGAAAGUAAAAUCUCUCACUGCCUCCAUUUCUUCCCCUUUUAUUUGCCAGGAGGUGAUGGGCCCAGUGGCCAUGAUCUUAGUUUUUUUGAUGUUGAGCUUCAAACCAUAUUUUGAGCUCUCCUCUUUCACCUCCAUUGAAAGGUUAAUUCCUCCUCACUUUCUGCCAUCAAGGUUGUGUUAUCUCCUUACUUAACACCUUACAUCUCCCACUUCACUGUGCAACAAAAGACAGCCAGGUUUCCUUCCACAGAAGAAAGUACGGCCACAUUCGCACACUACAUUUCAGCAGCCAGAAACACCAUAAUCAGACACUGGAGAGACCUGUCAGGAGUAAGCAUGGACCAAUGGUACCAAAUAGUAUGGGAAACAGCCUUACUAGAAAAAGGAACCAAUAAACUGAAACUGACACGGGGACAAAUAGAAGAAGACGCCUUCACCCCAGUAUGGCUCCCCUUUAUCACAUACACAGCCCAACAAGACAAUGACAAUAAUCCACCAACAGCAUACAAAUCAAUUUGGCUAACCUGAUCCAAAAAACCCACCCACCCCACUCACACAUGAAAACAAAGACCACCACAGCCAAUCACAAACAAACAACCACACCCUAGGCCAACCCCAACCUCUCUCACCACCAAAGGAACACAAGUGAAUAGCAGAGAACCUGCACAAGCAACGCUAACACAAAACCCCACAUAUAUUAAAUAAAAUAGUAACAUCGCCACCCACCCCCACCCCCACCUAUCUCCCCCCCACCUUUUCACUUCUUCUUCCUAAUGUCUCGACAAAUGAAACUGAUCUGUAAAAAAUGUUACCUGGAGAAAAAAAAGAGAGAGACAUUACACAUACUUUUAUAAACUAAGGAAAGAUUUAAUAAAAAUACAUUUAAGAACUACAUUUAAAGGACAAUCAUAGAAUCAUAGAGUUGGAAGGGAUCCUGAGGAUCAUCUAGUCCAACCCCCUGCAAUGGAGGAAAACACAGCUGUCCCAUAUGGGGAUCAAACCUGCAACCUUGACAUUACUGGUGCCACGCUCUAACCAGCUGAGCUAUCCAGUGACAUCAAUUGUAGCACAUUUACAAAAGCUACAGUUUCCCCCAAAGAAUUCUGGGAGGUGCAGUUUGCUAAGGGUGCUGAGAGUUAUCAUUCCCCUCCCAUAUUCAAAGGCCACUUUAGUGAUCAUGGGGAAUCCUGGGAAUUGUAGUUUGGUAAGGGCAUUAAGCAGGGCUUUUUUCCCAGCCGGAACUCGCUAGAACUUGGUUCCGGCACCUUUCAAAUGGGUGCCAUUGCCGUUAUAAGAGAACAAGGGAGGCAGGCGUUCGUGGUGAGUUCCAGCACCUCUUUUUCUAGAAAAGUAACACUGGCACUUAGAGCUGCUAGGCAACUCCUGUUCCCCUUUCAGAGCUCUCAGGGUGGUUUAAGAGUCAAUACUUUUUCAAAGGGAACUGGGAACUGUAGCUCUGGAACGGGAAUAGGGGGGGUCUCCUGAAAAACUCUCAGCACCCUUAAGAAACUACAGCUCCCAGAAUUCUUUGGGGGAAGCUGCAAUUGCUUAAAGCGGUGUGAUAGUGCUUUAAAUGUAUGGCAUGCAUGUGCCCCAUGCGGUCAAAGUUCCUUUUCAUUUUCUGGAAGGAAGAUGUACAGGCCAAGUACAGGUGGCUGCAUCAGUUCUGUGCUGGCAAGAACCCCAGCUGGGACAAACCUGCCUGGCCCAAACUGGAUGUAAGGACUCGUUAACAACUCACCUUUUUAAUUAAAACUCCCUCUUUCUCUCUUUCCCCUCCCUUCACCCUCUUCCUGCCCCUUGUGUGUCCUGGGCUUUUGCCUUACAAGUCUGAGGGCAGGGCCUGGCUCUCGUUUUUGUUGUUUCCCAGCUCCUGCUGGUAGGAUUGUGUCUUGAAUUUUAAUUGAUGUGAGCUGCUUUGGGAGAUGUUUUUUCUCUUUUUGAAAAAGUGAGCUGCUGACAAGUGAGCUCUAUCGCAGACCCCAUCAAGUAUCCCUAUUUUCCGGGGACAGUCCUGGAUUUACAGAAGCUGUCUUGGGGUUUCUGAUUUGAUCCUGAAAUGCCCCACUUUCCCUCUAUUUUCAUUGGAGGGUAAGUUCGGACAUCCCUAUUUUCAUCUGAGAAACGUUGGUGGGUAUGGAGUUAUCUGACCCCCAAGCCAUCUGAAAGCAGCCCUGUAUGGGGAAGGUUUUUUGUUUUUAAUGUUUAAUGUUUUAUUAUGUUUUUUAAAAUGUUGGAAUCCUCCCCUGAAUGGCUGGGGCAACCCAGUCAGAUGGGUGAAGUAUAAAUAGGAAAACAACAAUAACAACAAUUAUUAUAUAGGAUGUCCCUAUUUUCAUGGGAGAAAUGUUGAAGGGUAUGCUAUCGCCAAGCACUGCUACCCUUCAAACUACCAAACAGGGCUGCUAGAAAAACAUGGUUGCCCCCUGGAUCAUGUGAGUCUGUUUAGAAACCUAGUUUGCUAGAAGUUAUUCCUAUCCCUAUUUUCCUCUCUCUCUCUCUCUCUCUCUCUCUCUCUCUCUCUCUCUCUCUCUGUAUGUGUGUGUGUUUAAAAACCUUGCCAGUGAGGACAGCAAUCCUAUUCCCCCAAGAAUUACAUAGUAUUGUUCCCAGGAGCAGCCAUUCACGGAGGAUAAGUGAUUAUACAUUCUUUAUCGACCUUCUGAGAAAAAUACAAAACAUUAAACAAAGCCACAGAGCCUUGCGAACUACCCAACCUAAGAUGAACUUGUAAUGUCUAGUUUCAAUAGGUUUUUCAAAUGCUUAACUCACGUCUUUUAGAUAAGUUCAUGAAGAUACCAACAAAAGGUAAGUUCGGUGUUAUUCACAAUACCAAGAGAUGCUAGUGGAGUUGUAGAUAGAUGUUAAUGAAGUUGUAGAUGACAAGGUGCUGGCGUUUUGCACCUGUUUCGCCCUGGCAGUCCAAGUAAUCAAGAGGCCGCUGUUCGCCCCCGAUGGGGCCCUUUUUACUGGGGCUUGCAGGUAGCCCACUCCCAAGAUAGUUUUCCGGGCUUCUUCAGUGGUCUAAUCUCAAAGUCUUGAUACGUAUAUUGAUAGUCAGUCUUAUAGAGAAUACUCUUUUUUGGCUUAGGCUUAAGAGACUGAUUUGCUAGAACUUGUUCCUAUCCCUAUUUUCCUCUAUAUGUGUGUGUGUGUGUGUGUGUUUUUACAAAACCUUGCCAGUGAGGACAGCAAUCCUAUUUCCCCAAGAAUCCCCCCAGGAAUUACAUAGUCUUGUUCCCAGGAGCAGCCAUUCCUUGAGGAUGAGGCUAUCAAUGACUACUAGCUAUGAUGGUUAUGCUCUGCCUUAACGGUUGAAGGCAGUGAUGCUUCUGAAUAACAGUUGCUGGAAACUGCAGGAGGGGAAAUGUCUCUUCCACUCAUGUCCUGCUUGAAGGUUUCCCACAGGCAACUUGGUUGGCCAUGGUAAGAACAGGAUGCUGGACUAAAUGGGUCACUGGCCUGAUCUAGCAAUCUCUUCUUCGAUUCUUAACCUGCCCCAGGAUUACAGCUGGAGUCACUAUAUUACUAGUGGAAAAUGACAGCAAGGCGUAUUGGGUUGCUUCAGAAAGGAAGAUAAAACUCCAGGCCACUUCAUUGUUAAGACCAAAAAUAAAAAUUAAAAAAUGCAUUAAUUUCCUCCCCAAAUUGAUGAUUAGCUCCCCUCCCCACUUUAGCAAGGGAUGAAUCAUGCUGCAAAAAGACAGCAGAGAGGGGAAUGUAUUCAGCCCAGCACUAAAACACAGGACUAAUGUUUUUAUCAGUAGCAUUUUUAUUCCUAACAGUUGUCCUUUUGUUUUAAAUCUUAUCCUCCUACAAUAUAAUAAAGGGGUUUUUUUUGUUUUGUUUAAAAAGCACCACCAUUUAAUAUUCAUAAAAGCACCUGUUCCGCACUUGGCAUUCAUUACCCACUGCAGAAAAAUAAAAAGGAUUCUUGCCUUUAGGCUCAUAAACUAAUUUCCUUUAUCCAAUUUUAAGCGCUGGGCUUCUAUGGAAAAGCAGUGGAUUUGGCUGGUCCUCGUUCAAAUAUCAACUGCUUCAGGUUAUGUAACAGUUUGCUUGCUAUUAUUUGGUUCUUUGCUUUCUGAAGUGCAUUUGUAAAAAACAGAUAAUCACCCCAAAAUACAAGCAUUUUGACUUUGUCUUGAUAUCCUACCGCAAAAGGAAUUACGGAAACUCACUGAGGAGCAACAAUAAGAAUGUAGUAAGAAGAGCUCUGCUGGAUCAGGAGAGAGAAAGAAGGGAAGCAAGAGCAUUCCAUCAGCCCUCCCUAAAUACAUGUUGUAUCAGGCUCUGCCCUCCAUCACCUGUUGCAUGGCAGCAGCUAUUCCAUCUGGCUGCAGCAGAUAGAUAGAUAGAUAGAUAGAUAGGAACCAGGACCAUGCUUUUCAGCACUACUGAGAGUCCAGCUCCAUUUGACUUCUCUUUUCCCUGAAUUAUCUCCAUUCCAGCUGGUUAUCCACCCACAUUGGGCAGCCCAGACACAGAAGUCCCCCUCCGAGGGUCUUCUGCUAGUCCCCCCACUGUGAGAAGUGAAGUUACAGGGAACCAGGCAGAGGGCCUUCUCUGUAGUGGCACCCACCCUGUGGAACACCCUCCCUUUAGAUGUCAAGUAAAUAGCUAUCUGACUUUUAGAAGACAUCUGAAGGCAGACCUGUAUCAAGAAGUUUUUAAUGUUUGGUGUUUUAUUAUGUUUUUAUAUAUCUAUAUGCUGUAAGCGGCCCAGAGUGACUGGGGAAACCCAGCCAGAUGAGUGGGGUAUAAACAAAAUAAUUACAACAACAACAACAACAACAACAACAACAACAACAACAACAACGGAACCCUGCUAUUUAUGUUUAAGAACUGGCACCUGUUUGCUUGCUUUCGUCUUCCGUCCUCAUGCCUUUUUUCCUUUUAUGCCAUUUCUUUUUGAUAAUAAGCCUACAGGCAGGGACUGUUUUUCUACUGACUGUCUUUCUUAAAGGGAACCUUUCUGACUGAACAGGGUGAGUAAAAAUGCUUUAGUUAAAUAAAUGCGGGUGGGAAUUGCUUCCACAACCGCUGAGCAAAAUGACCCCAAGGAAGAAUGAUGGAUGUUCUACUGCUAAACCUGAAUAUAUGAGAACACUGAAAGAAAGGGAAGAGAUUCAAGGAGGAGGAAGCAGAAAACAAAAUGGGCAACAUUUGCUCUAAAUUGAUAAAUAAAAUAAUGAAGGUUACUGACUCCCAAAAGCCAUCUCUUGCGGUGUCAGUGUUUAAGAAUAACUCCUCGUACCUCUUUUGCAACUCAGUGCCACGAAAAAGGGAAAAGAAAAUGUAUUGUUUCAUCGCUUGGGUGCAUUGAUUUACUGACGUGAUUUAUCACCAUUGGACACCCGGCCCAACAAAUCAUGUUUUGCUGACACCGUCAGCUGACAUAACUACGUUGUCAGUUCCCAAUACUAAAAGGUAAUGGAUGGUGAUUAUUUUACUGUAAUGGCUUUAAUCAGCACUUUGAAUGACUUAGCCGUGGUGUCAUAAUGGCGCAGCUCGUCGUUCAUCACGGCAGCAUUUUGUUUACCAACAUCAUCUAUAAUUCAUUCGAUUGUUGACAGUCAUUGGCAAACGCCGCUCAGGCAAGCGUUUGUCGGAAUGGAAGAUCUGCACAGGGCCAGCAUACUAACUAGUCCCCGGAUGAUCUAAUAGCGUCACCAUUUGUCCAUUCAAUGUAGAAUGCAGCCUAUUUUUGUUUCUACGCUAAUGCAUACACUAGCGGAAGUCAACGUAGCUCCCUCCAGAUGUUGUUGGACUUCAUGGAGAGCCAAUAAACUGAAGCAUAAUCAGAUAAGACAGAUAAUCUGUGAGUGGCAUGGAUGGAGGUUCCCUGCUCCUGAGGGGGUUAUUCUCUCUCUUAAGGAGCAGGUAUGUCGCUUGGGGGUGCUCCUGGAUCUGUUGCUGUUGCUUAAGGUCCAGGUCGCCUUGGUGGCACGGAGUGGUGGCCCACCUACAUUCCUAUCUGGACAGGGAUAGUCUAAUUUCUGUGGCUUAAGCUCUGGCCACCUCUAGGUUGGAUUACUGCAAUGCAUUCUGUGUGGGGCUGCCUCUGAAGACGGUUCGGAAACUUCAGCAGGUGCAAAAUUUGACGGUGAGGUUGCUCACCAGAACAAUGGUUUGAGCAUAUAACAUCAGUGCUGACCUGACUGUGUUGUUGUUGUUUAGCCGUUUAGUCGUGUCCGACUCUUCAUGACCCCAUGGACCAGAGCACGCCAGGCACUCCUGUCUUCCACUGCCUCCCCCAGUUUGGUCAAACAUGCUGGUAGCUUCGAGAACACUAUCCAACCAUCUCGUCCUCUGUCGUCCCCUUCUCCUUGUGCCCUCCAUCUUUCCCAACAUCAGAGUUUUUUCCAGGGAGUCUUCUCUUCUCAUGAGUACUGGAGCCUCAGCUUCAGGAUCUGUCCUUCCAGUGAGCUCUCAGGGCUGAUUUCCUUAAGAAAGGAUAGGUUUGAUCUUCUUGCAGUCCAUGGGACUCUCAAGAGUCUCCUCCAGCACCCUAAUUCAAAAGCAUCAAUUCUUCGGCGAUCAGCCUUCUUUAUGGUCCAGCUUUCGCUUCCAUACAUCACUACUGGGAAAACCAUAGCUUUAACUCUAUGGACCUUUGUGUACUGGCUGCCAAUUAGUUAGCUGCUGGUUAGGGAGUGUGCCAUGCUGCAACCCUUUGUUGCAGGGCCCCAUUUGUUUGAGACCCCUUUCAAUUGUAUAUCACUUUUGGACAUCCGAACUACUACACUUCACAGGUUCUUUCGUGUCUUGGCACUGUGGUUAAGAGUUUCUGAAUGAUCGCUGCGCAUUACUGCCAUGAAUCACAUGCGCAGCUGCACUUAGCUGGGCACCGUUUCCCCGUCAAAAGCACAGAUCUGGCUUUGAAGUGCAUCCUCUUUUCAAAAGAUGAAAUAUGGCUUCAUUCUGCAUCGUUGCCUUUGGUUCUCCCCCUUGUUUUGCUGAUCACUACGCUGUUUCAUUGGUUGACACGUGGAGCUGUUUGAUAUGUUCUUCUUUAUAUUGAAUGUUGGAAGCUGUCCUGUUUUCAUGGGGAAAGGUGAGGGUAUCAAUAGUAAGACAAUAUAACAAAAUAAUGAAAAAGUGACUGACGCCGCUCCCUCCAAAUUUAGACACUUGGCUAUGAAUGUUUUCUCCUGUAUCAUGGAAUAAUAUAUUCCAGGUCUCGUUUGGGCUCAGUAGUGAAAUCAUUACUAUGAUUGCAAGUUGAAUGCUUAAAAUCAGAUCCAUGCCUCAUGUCUUCUUCAGUGGAAUGGCCAUUUUCCGUCUUCAGAAUCCUGAUCAUGUGCAAAGUGCUUUUCCCUCCGAGAUAUACUUGGAGUCAAGUGUGAAUUUCAUGCUCUUGAUUCAGCUCGAAGUAGCAAUGAAUGAAACUUCCCCCAAAACGUCUAGCUAUAUAUACAUUAUUUACACAAUGAGCCCCAUGUGAUUGGCUAAUUCUGGGCUGCUCCGGGCCAAUCGGGUUGCGGAUUCACUUCCUCCAGAAGCCUGAUUGGCUGAUCCUGCAGGCCAAUCAGUUUGCUGAUUCACUUCCACCUGGAGCUGGAUUGGGUGGCUCCUGUGGACCAAUCAGACUGCUGCAUUCUGGAUCCUAUUGUUCUAGGAUUCAGCUCAGUACAUAACACCAUAGCUUGUCCUAUUAAAUUAGAACUGAAGAGCUCCUUGGGCACAUGUAAAAAUUUCCUGAAGGCAUAUUCCUUUCCUCAACUAUUUUAAGAUCAACAAGAACACAAUAGCUGCUGUGGAUUUAGCCGUGAUCCCUGCAUUGCAGGGGGUUGGACAAAAUGAUCCUAUGGGUCUCUUCCAACUCCACAAUUCUAUGAGUCUGUCAUUUCAUCCUCAAUAAUGAGAUGCUGAAGUUUUAUUAUAAAUCAUUUAUUUAAAAAAUAGUCCAUCCAUCUCCUCCUCCUCCUCAAAAGAAAGCUUUUAUAAAAUUCUGUGCUAUGCACUUUCUGGGAUUAUUCAUGUGUCAGCUUCCUGGACUCUCUUUUCCCUAAUACCUGUUAGCUUGUCAGUAUUUCCUUGUAUCAAGCAGCCCAUCUGUAUCUAUUUACACAAAUCCAAUAUUUAUAGACUCGGAGCCUGAUGUUCCCAUACACUGUUUUGACAUGCAUGUAACUCACACAGGGUGGAAUCCUGUCUCGGCCGAGCUUACCUAUUGACUUCAGUGGACUGAGAUUGGAACUGCACUCACACAGAGAAAGCAUGCAGCUCACACUCAGUUAUUUAAGAAGACUUUUAAAAUUCUACCCUGUGCCACACUGGAACCUCUGUUCCAGCUGGAAGCAGAAGCAACCUCACAGAGAAGAUCUGGGGCAUGUUUGCAAACGGUUCUGUUCUCCACAAUCCAUUUUAGAUCUGCUACUCGAAUAAAUUCUUUAUAGCCAAAGCUCCGGUUCACACUAUAGAGUUCUCUAGGAGGUGAGAAGCCCCUGAGAGAAUGCAGUAGUUAGUGAUUCUGGCUGCUACUGCUACAUCAUCUAAGGCAGGGGUCAGUCCACUGUCCCUCAGACCUUUUCGGGGGCCGGACUAUACAGUCAUACCUUGGGUUGAAGUAGCUUUGGGUUAAGCAUUUUCAGGUUGCACUCUGUGGAGACCUGGAAGUAAUGGAGCAUGUUACUUCCGGGUUUCGCCGCUUGCGCAUGCUCAGAUGCUCAAAAUGAUGUCACGCACAUGUGCAGAAGUGGCGAAUCGUGACCCGCGGGUUGUGUUCGCUUCAGGAUGCGAACGGGGCUCUGGAACGGAUCCCGUUCGCAUCCAGAGGUACCAUUGUAUUUUGGAAACGAAUUCCUAUGCCCCACAAAUAUCCCAGAGAUGCCUUUUAAAUAAAAGGACACUUUCUACUCAUGUAAAAACACGCUGAUUCCUGGACCGUCCGCGGGCCGGAUUUAGAAGGCGAUUGGGCCAGAUCCGGCCCCCGGGCCUUAGUUUGCCUACCCAUGAUCUAAGGUGGCAUAUCCUUGCCACCGUCUUGUAGAGGAGCUACUCCCUGGUACAUCUCUGCUGCUAUAAGAAGCCAGCAGGGGUGAACUUUUUAUGAAAUCAGCAGCGUAGCAUUGGUUGUCAGUGCCUGGGAUGGGUGCGCGGGCAUUGGGUGGGGUUUGUGUGUGCCAGGAUGGGGUGGGGGCCCGGCCGGCCAAUGUGGCCCUUGACACUGAGUUGGGCCACACUGGUGAUGCCUGGUUUGCGCCCCCACAAAAAUUGUGUGCCCAGGGCCAUGGCUCCCCCCCCAGCACCCCCCACGCUUUGGCCCUGUAUAAAACUAAUGAAGCUUAAGCUUCAGGGCUCCUAAGAGUCACAUAAGCGACGCUAGUCCACAUUGCUUAAAACUUUGGGGUCUACCACGACUCAAAUUGAUUAAUUUUGUUGUUGUAUAUAUUUCUGCAAAACCAGUGAGGUCCCAACGAAAGAAGAACGGCAACUUAAGCUGAUGGAAUACAUGCAGCUGGCGGACUGAACAUAUAGAAGAAGAUAACAAGAAGAACAUACGUUUAGAGAAGUGUUAUGCAUUGGGUUUAACACAUGUUACAAGGCGCAUUGUAACCAAUCGUAUAAACGUUGGUAGACGAAUGUUCUAAUGGCAAGUAAGCGCAUGCACUUUCAACUGUCAACGGUCAGUUCACGCUCAAAUUUAUUAUUGUGUUGUCCAGUCAGUUUGGUUCUUGUGUUCCUAUGAGUGAGCUGUUGUCACUGACAAAUGUUGAAUAAACUUAGUUGAGGAACUUAUACUGCCUUGGGCUUCUGACUUUUCCGAACAUUUAACAAGAAGAUUGGAAAAUGUUUAUUUGAAUAUAUGGGGGGGGGGGAAUUGUGUACACUUGAAAACGUUGGCAGCGUUAAGAUAAAUUCAACAGUGUAAAUCAGUUUUGAUGGAUAAAGGAAUACUGAAUUGUUUAGUAGUUUAUGCAAAAAAUGCAGGGAUUUAUGAUAUGCAAAAUGAACCAUGGAAAGAGAAGAAGAGAAGUCAUUGAUAUUUUAAGGAUGUUUAAAUGAGUAUUCUAAAAUGAAAAACAGAAAAAGUAAUAAAAAUUAUAUAUAAUGUUGUUGUUGUUGUUGUUGUUGUUGUUGUUGUUGUUGCUGUUGUAGUAUAUACUGUAUUUUUCGCUCUAUAGGACACACCUUUUCCCCUCCAAAAAUGAAUGGGAAAUGUGUGUGCGUCCUAUGGAGCGAAUGCAGGCUUUCGCUGAAGCCUGGAGAGCGAGAGGGGUUGGUGCGCACCGACCCCUCUCGGUCUCCAGGCUUCAGGAAACUUUCUGCAAGGCUUGCGGAUAUCUGCAUCCUGAAGACCGGGGAGCACUGCACAGCGCACCCCGGGCUUUGGGCAGAUAUCCGUAAGCCUGGGGAGCCCGGCGGGAAUUCCCGCUGGGCUCAGAAGGCUUGUGGAUAGCAGCAAGCUUCCAUCCCGCUGGCUGUCUCGGCUUCUUUGCUCUUUGGGAAUGGGGGGGGGGAAUAUUCCCCCCCCCAAAAAAAACCCCUAGGUGAGCCCUAUGGUCCGGUGCGCCCUAUAGAGCGAAAAAUACGGUAUUUCAACAAUCCCAAAGUUUGAGAGUCAGUAGCACAGAUGUAAAGGAGAAGUGUUGUGGUAAGUUGGCUGCUCUACUGUGGCUAAUGCAUUCCUCACCCCAUUUUUAUCAGAGGUUAAGACCCUAGAGGAAUAACUUUGAGUCUCCCAGGUCUCAGUUCAACACCGAACCACGACACCACAAGGGCUCUCAUGGUGCAAGCUGCGUCUGCUCAUUGUGUGAAAGCGUUUUCACACUUGUUGAUUUGCACGGCUCAGAUACUGCAUUCACAGGUACACAAUCUACACACCUGUUGCAAGUUGCAAGUGAAUACCUGUAUGACUGCACAGAGCAACUGUUCAUAUAUACAGGUAUGCAGAUUGUACACUCACUGAAUGUAAUGUGUGAAUGCCUCUGCACUCAGCUAUGAUUAUGAAUGGCAUUCCUGGACUGGAUACAAAUCGGCCUUUCACCACAUGGCUAGUUUCUUUGCUGCUUCUCGGUAAUGUCCAGAGCUGCUCCGAGGUGAAAGGGGUUGUUGAUGCCGCAAAUCUGGGGCACGGAAUUAAUGGCCCACCUGAAAUAUCCUCAUCACCUUCCUUCAACUUAGCAGAUUUUCUUUCCUUCUCUUGUGUUGAUUUUGUUCAUCUCAGAGAUGGAAUUCAUAAGCAGAUUAGGAUCGUGUUGGAGCCUUUGUUGCCAUGGCAACACCAUGCGGCAGUUAUAUGUCUUUCCUUCAAAUCUUGAUUCUGAGGUGACUGGUUAUAUUUAUUCUUGUCCUUUGCAGAAUCUCACAGCGUGAUGGAAAAACUCAUGAAGGUACAGGAAAAUGUUAGGUUAGAGGAAAGUUGUGGCAGCCCAAAGUUGUUUCCGUGAGGCGCAGGUUAAGUGUUAAAUUCAUUACUUUUGACUCAGAAAACCAGAGUUCAGAUUCAUUUUAAAUUACAGGGGUUUUGCUUUUGUUUUAAAAAGAAAUUAUUUCAACUGGUUUCCCAUGGGUGUUGGGCACUGCCCUGCCUACCCUCCCCCUGCCCCCAGGCAUAGUAUAAGAAGCCAGAACAGUUCAUUCAAGAAAAAUGCCUUUCUCAGAGUUUGUCAAAAUGAGUUUCCCUAGUAAUAUAUAAUGGGUUGAACCAGGUCAUUUUCACCAUGGUUGUAAACUCAAAUCUGGACUGUAUCCCUUCAGAUUGCAGGUGGGAAGACUCAUUUGACUGCAAGUGGCUUGAAGUCACCUACAAACGUUCUUGGCAGAGUAGAGAUUUGAGCCUGGAUCUCCCUUGAUCCAGCAUUUGACCACUAGACACCACUGUGUUCUCCUAAUGGUCAUGUAGGUGGGCUCAGUCCUCAAUCAUUCCCAUUAAAAGUCUGUGACCUUUGUCUUUCUAGGUGGUAGAUAAUCAGUGAUUUUUGGAGGGAGCUUGCAUGUUUGGUAUUGAGCUCUUCUCUUCCAUAUCCUCCAUCCACAUCCUUAGAAGGACAGAAAAGGGUGUUUUGAGAACCUGGCAGGAUAUGAGUUCAGCCUUCUGCUUCCAUUUCUCUGUCACGCAACAGUGGCUGAAGUAAAACAGCAACGAAAGUCCACUCUUUCUCCUUACAGUGAUGUCAAGAAUGUCCAAUGAAAUUUCAAGAACCAUGCCAUCAACACUACCACCAUGCCAUCAUCCAACUCUAGUAUUCCUCUAAGCAGAAAAUUAUAAUUAUGAGCAUGGCCCUCCUUGUGUUGUUGUUGUUUAGUCGUUUAAUCGUGUCCGACUCUUCGUGACCUCAUGGACCAGAGCAUGCCAGGCACUCCUGUCUUCCACUGCCUCCCGCAGUUUGGUCAGACUCAUGCUGGUAGCUUUGAGAACACUGUCCAACCAUCUUGUCCUCUGUCGUCCCCUUCUCCUUGUGCCCUCCAUCUUUCCUAACAUCAGGGUCUUUUUCAGGGAGUCUUCUCUUCUCAUGAGGUGGCCAAAGUAUUGGAGCCUCAGCUUUGGGAUCUGUCCUUCCAGUGAGCACUCAGGGCUGAUUUCCUUAAGAAUUGAGAGGUUUGAUCUUCUUAUGGUCCUCCUUAUCCUCCCAUAAUUCCUGGCCACUAGGCUGAUGGGAGCAACUUCUAGAGGGCCAAAGUUCCCUUGCACCUUCUUUAGAGUCAACGGGGCCACUUUCAAAGCCACAGCACAGAUAUUUGCUAAGUUCUCCUCCCGUUGCUGGCUAAAGUCGGCUAGAUCUUCUACCACUGACAACCCACUUUUAAAGUUGCGCCUUUCAAGCUGUUGAACUGCCCUUCACCAUCUCGGCGUCCUUAGCCUCCCUCAAGAAUUCUGAGCUGUCAAGCUGAUUAGCCGCCAACGGCAUUAAUUCUAAAAGUUUCGGGCUUCACUUAUAUUGUCUGCGCAGCAUUACCUUGCCGAAGUAUUAACCCAAGCCAAAUUAUUCACUCGUGAAACUGCUGUCAAGCCACGCCACCAUCUUGCUUGCUGUCAAAGCCACACACCCCAAGGAGUCUCUGAUUCUAGCUUUUCCCCCCUUGCCUAACUUUUGUGGGGUUUUGUUUUUUUGUUUUUGGAAGAGGCAGCGAUUCCUCUAAGCAGCAGAACAGGCACUCACCAAAAGAUCUGCGUAGACAACAGGGGAGCCAGCUAAUUACAUUUUAAUUAUGAAAAAUGAUUUGCGUUAAACUAUAAUUUCUGGUAGCAACCACACGGUGGCAAUCAUGUUCUUUGCUAUCAGAUUAAUGACGGGGAUGGAUCACAAGGUCACUUUGCGAGCAGAUAAAUAUUUGCACCGAUCCUACAAUCCUUUCUUCCUUUUCCGUUAUUAUUCUGAUUUCUCUUAUUAGCGGCGAUGAAUCAGGGAACUUAUCAUAACAUCCCACCUGCGCCUGAUUUCUGCAACUGUUAAUCUGGUCCCUUCGCUUACUUCCAUUAGCGAGCCUUGUUGCAGCCUUUUUUCAUUUCCCUCUGUGUAGGGAAAAAAGGAAAGUUAUUCUGUGAUGUCAUCUUUGCAUUCAUUUCAGCCGAGCGCUUCGCAUCUAAGAUUUGCUAUUUCACAGAAUAGUACAGGUAUCUGACUGAAUGGCAACUGAUAAACACAAGAACCACAAGUAGCAAAACCCACCCCUGCGGAUUGGCAGCAGCAUUCCUGGGCCUCGUCCUUGAGGCAGCGGAGGCAGUUAUUUAAUAUUUAACCAUCCCUUUGAUCGUUUCCUUAAAAUUUAUUUACCCAGGAAAGAUGCACCAUCUGGCUGGAGGGGAGUGAAGCAGCCUUUUCUCCUCCUUUCUCCUAAGCGAGAUGGAUAGAAGGUCAGGAGAUGGAUCUUACUUUUAAACCUCUUCCAGCCGGAGCUCAGAACUACGAUUGAAGCUUCCAGGGCACCAUCACGCCGGUCAAAGCUUUAGCAGAAGCGCUGAUCGCUAGAUCUACAACUGCUGUUGCUUCAUCUGUUAAUUUGCAGUUGUUUUGCUGCAAUGGUUUUUUUUUUUAAAAAAAAAACUAUACUAAAAUGGGCACAGUUUGUGCUUUAACGUAACAUUCAAAUAAAGUAGCACCCCAUUUUGUAAGCAAUGUUUUAAUGUUAAAUACAAGAAAUAGAGCUGUAACAGUGCAUGGGGUGCAUCACACACACACACACACACACACAUGAUAUAUAUGUGAAUGUAAGAAAUAUAUGGAAUGGAACAUUAACCUAGCCCCAGUGCUUUUUUUCUGAGGGGUCACAGGGGGAUGCAUACCCCUAAACAUUUUGUGAAUCUUUGUACUUUGGUCCAUUUACUGUAUUUGUUUUCCCCAAUUUGAAUGAUAUGGUGAUUUUCUUGAGUCCAAAUGAGAAUAUCCCUAAACAUAUUUUAGAAAGAAAGCACUGCCUAGACCAGGGGUCAGCAAACUUUUCAGAAGGGGGCUGGUCCACUGUCCCUCAGACCUUGUGGGGGGAUCGAAAUAUGUAUAUAUUGUAUAUAUAUAUAAGAUAUAUUUUAUAUAUAUUGGGGGAAUGAACGAAUUCCUAUGCUCCACAAAUAACCCAGAGAUGCAUUUUUUUUAAAAAGGACACAUUCAACUCAGGGUUGCCAUGGGGUGGCGGUGGGGGGGGGGAGUGGUUGAGCGUUUUUUAGUUUUGCCCAAACUUGUUGAGCUUGCUUUUUUAAAAUAAUAAUAAUUCCAGAGUGUUUUAACAGCCAAUCUCUCUUCCCAGGGAUCUCUGAGAAUUAUAACUCUGUGAGGGGCAGUGGCGGAGGGGUGCGGAGGGAUAGCCACUCAAGUGCAUCUAGGGGCAGAGCUGUAGGCGCUUGUCUUCCAGGCAAAAUGAAAAGCGCACCCGCCGAUCCCGCUUCCUUCCUCUCCCCUUCCCACCCCCCUCUGCUCACCUGCCUCCUUCCCGUCCUCUCCCCUGUUUGCCCACCUGCCUCCUCCAGCCAGCAGCACGAGGCAAUGGUGCCAUGCCCACCCGCGACUCCCAAGCCUACCGUGAGCCGUCGGGGGAAGAGGGGAGCUGCUGCGCCACUUUGCCGCUUUGCCGGAGUCGCGGUCGGGUGGUGCACCGAAUGUCACCCCCCCAGGGAUGACACCCAGGGUUCCUCUGCCACUGGUGAGGGGCCCUCCUAACAACUUGUCAGCACCUAAUACCACCACCUCUCUCCCUCUCCCUCCCUCCACCCCCCUCUCUCUUUCUCUGUGUCUGAAUUGAUUUUAGAAUACAUUUCAAUUACAGUGGUACCUCGGGUUAAGUACUUAAUUCUUUCAGGAGGUCCGUUCUUAACCUGAAACUGUUCUUAACCUGAGAUACCACUUUAGCUAAUAGGGCCUCCCGCUGCCGCCACGCAAUUUCUGUCCUCAUCCUGAAGCAAAGUUCUUAACCCAAGGUAUUAUUUCUGGGGUAGCGGAGUCUGUAACCUGAAGCGUAUGUAACCCGAGGUACCACUGUAAUUGAUUUUGAUUUUAUGUAAACUGCGUUACUUUUACUGUUGUCAGCCGCUCUGUGCCUGGCUUCGGCUGGGGAGGGUGGGAUAUAAAUAAAAAAAUAUUUAUUAUUAUUAUUAUUAUUAUUAUUAUUAUUAUUAUUAUUGGCAGGGAGAGGCAAACGGGAAAAGAUGAAAGAACAGAAACCAGCAGUUAUAGAGAGCCUAAAGAGAUUAUCAGCAGCUUGUUGUCCGACAGUCAGUCUGACGUAGAGGGGGAGGAGGAUGAGCCUGGGACAAGUCAUGCUGUACACAGAGGAAGUAAGGGGAGGAGUUUUCGCAGACUUGCAUGCUGGGUGCGGAAAAGGAGGAAGUAACAUUAGAGGGAGCAACUGCGCACAAGGGGAAGGAGGUUAAUGGAAAUGCUGGAGAUGUACGUUUGAACUUUGUCAAAUAAAUCAAUUGUUUGGGACUGGCUGGGAGCCCAGAGUCUUAUCUAUGGCCAGCUGGACAGCACUAAGCCUCUGACAAUUAUUAUUAUUAUUAUGUGUGGAGCAGGCUCCCUGUUAAUAAAUGUCUGCCGCCUGGUGUGUGUGUGUGUGUGUGUGUGUGUGUGUGUGUGUGACAGUAAUGAUGAGGUGACAGGGCCACCAAUGGCAUGACUACAUCCUUCCCUUCACCGGGGCGAAACUAAGCUUUAUUUCACCCAGGUCAAAGACCCAGUUUGGCACCCACCCACGUGCAUUUUCGUACACACACAUACACAAGCUGGGAGCCUCAAUUGCGCUCCUCUGGAGGUUUCACCCAGGGCAACCCCCCCCCCAUAGCUACAGCUCUGCCUCCACACAAUUCCCACUGCACGAGGUUCAGACAUCCUGAUCAGUCACAGCCUCGGCAGAUCUUCUUCGUUCCUAGAUGAUCCUCCCUCAAGUCUGAGGAGCGAAGUGAUGAAGAUAGCCUCGUGUUCUCUUUGUUUCUGACAGCGCUGCAAAGCUUGUCUUGUGGUGAAGUACGUAGCCACAGGCAAAGAAGGUCUUGGUGCUCUUCGCGCAGCUUAGAUGUGCCACAAGAGUGAUAAUAAGAUUAGCUCGCAGAAACCAAAGCGUUUGACCUUGGUCUCUGCUAUAAGACUUUAUGCACCAGGGAAGUGUUAAUGGUAUGUCUAAAUCCACUAGUCUUUAAAAAAGAUUAAGUGCCAGAGGAAGUUGUAUUUCCUUCACUAAGGCUGGUGUUUGUCCCAGGAUAGCAGUGGGAAGCAACACCCCCCUUUUUUUGGACGCACCGCUUUGCAGACAUGGAUUGGCUGUUUUAAAGGGUCUCCCUUCAGCACCCACAGGUGGGAACAUCACCCAUAUCUACAGAAGGGAAGGCCUGGGGAAAAAUCGGAAAAAUUGGGGGGGGGGGACCAGGGUUUCCCCUGUUUUUUCUGUCCUCCCCCUUUUUUUCAAUUUUUUUCCAGUCUUUUUUUCCAGAAAAAAUGGGGGUAAAAAAAUCAAACCAAAAACCAAAACAGUUUGAUAUAGUUUGGAUAUCCCACCCCCCCUAAUUUUUCUGGGGGGAAAAUGGAAAAAAACCUGUCACCCUCCCCCCAAUUUUUCCGGGACCUUCCCAUCUCUACCUGUAUCCAUGAAUAGCAACUAAGGUGGAUGCAGGAACAGGUUCACAGAGUCAUCUGGGUAAAGUAACUAUCCCAAUGUAAUAAUAAUUCCCAAGGAAUAUCUGUCAGAGACAGGCAGAGGAGUCACUCCUCAGGUUUCCCCACAAGUGCCUGCUGUUGCCAUGUCUCUCAAACUUUCCCUCAGGAAAGGAUACAGUGGUACCUCGUGUUAUAUACGCUUCAGGUUACAUACGCUUCAGGUUACAGACUCCGCUGACCCAGAAAUAGUGCUUCAGGUUAAGAACUUUGCUUCAGGAUGAGAACAGAAAUCGUGCUCCGGCGGCGCAGCAGCAGCAAGAGGCCCCAUUAGCCAAAGUGGUGCUUCAGGUUAAGAACAGUUUCAGGUUAAGUAUGGACCUCCGGAACGAAUUAAGUACUUAACCCGAGGUACCAUUGUACACUUCUUUGAUUUAAAGGUAAUGACCGCUCCCCGCUUAAAACGGGGGGUGUCCUUUGCGUGGACGCUCGCAGCCCCUAGAUCUGGAGCGGCUCCAACAGCAUAGGCUUGGUUUGCCUUCCCUCAGGUGGGAUACCUGGAGGUCUCCGCCUACCUCAGUCAGUUGUCCAAUCCCACCUGGGCGUAGCGUUGCCUAGGAGACCAGGCCAGGUAGGGCAGGGAUUACCUGCCCACACAGCAGAGUGAACGCGAUCUUACCUGAUCGGAAGUCCUCACUUGGCUCCAGAGCUUCACCCACCCUACCCACCGCUCCAUGUUACUGUCUAUAUUUGUCAGAGUCAACUUGUUCUGAUCACAGGUUUUGCAGGUUAACUUUUCUUCGCAGGUAUGCGGGCGCUGCUACGUUAAGGUUGCUGUUAAAGGGCCGGAAAGGAAUUUCCCUGCAUUGGCAGGUUUCGCCUUUCCCGUAGCAAAACGUCACAACUUUGGCGGUAUCAGGCCUUGGGCGGAAUCCUUUAGUCCAUUUUCCUCUUUGCGGCGGCGAUACCAGGGUUCUCCGUUAAAGGGGUUUCUGAAGGGAGGCUUUGACCGUACGCCAAGAGGUCGUAAUUGCUCUCCCCUGCGGCGGCGGCGUAACGGAGGCGGCUAUCUCUGGUUGAACAUAUGUUCUCCAGAGCCGGCCCAUCCCCCCCACAUACACACUGGAUAACCCUGAUGCUCCCUAGAUUCCCAGCUGGGGACUGGGGAGGGAUAACGCCCAAUGCCUGAGCCAAGGUCUACCCACAUUUGAAAUUUAAUAAAGUUGUAGCCAAUUUAAUCCCAUAGCACGUUGUCAUGAGUCGUUAUUCCACAUGACGGGGGGACCGCACGGGAUCUGGGGACUCCGCCUGUCCACGCAAUAGUGAAAGUAAGAAAUGUAUAUUAAGUGAAUAGAUUGGAAAAUUUUCAGUCAUGAUUGAUGGAAGUCCAAAAAAAUUGUAUAAGAUGUAAAAGUAUGUUUAAUUACUUGAAAAUGAUAUGUUAAAAACUAAUAAAAGUAUAUAUCUAUAUGAAAGACAGGACUUUUUACCUCAUACUCCGAGAUCUUGUUCUCCGGAUGCCUUAGGUAUCACAACACCCAACAGAACCUGUGCCAAAUAUCUAAAGGAUCUACUACUCCCCUCCCACCGAAGAGCUUUUAUGCUCACGAGAUUAACUGCUUUCCCUUCUGCAGUGACCAAUGGCAGAUUCACACAUACUCCAUAUCAAGCCUGUCUGUGUGCCUGCAACCAAAGAGAAUCUGAUUCAAUGGACCACAUUCUCUUAGACUGCUCUUUACACAGCAGACCUCGCCAACUGAUGCUGAGCAAAAUGUUGGACCUCUGGCAUAUAACUCCAAGAAGAAACCGAACAAGGUUUCUCCUGGCAGAUCAGGACAAAGAUAUCACUGCUCCUGUAGCUUCCUUUUUAUUUUACUUUUUUCAAAAAAAAAUAAAAUUAUUCAUUUUAUAACACAAAUAAACAACACAAACAAAAAAACAAACAACACAAACAAAUUCUUCUCUUAUCCUUAUUUUUUCUAAACAUUGUUAGGUGGGCUUCCCCAAGUCCCCCCUAUCUGAUUUUCAUUUUACUUCAUCUUUAGCAGUUUACAUAUGUCAUAAUUUCUAACAUUUUUUUUAUCACGCUUACUUUUUCCAUAAAAAUCUACACAUUUUAUCACUUACAAAUAAUACUAUUUUAGAAUACACUAUCUUCUAACCCUACAGGCUAUAUCCACUUCCAAAGCUAUUCUAAGAUUUAAAUAUUAACAUCUUUUUUCAAAUAUUCCUUAAACUUCUUCCAAUCUUCUUCCACCGUCUCUUCUCUCUGGUCUCAGAGUCUCCCAGUCAGUUCGGCAUGUUCCAUAUAGUCCAUCAUCUUCAUCUGACAUGUAGCUUCCUUUUAGCCACAAUUUUACCCGAAAGGGUUCCUAACGAACCAUCCCUUUGGAGAACAGACAUAUAUAAGCAGAAUAUAUAAGUGCACACAAUCCCAGUGUGACCUAUAACCUUUGACAGCUUCGCCUUUGUCCUUUUAAUUAUCCCAGUGAUUUUCAAUGUUUUAUACUGUGAUGCCAAUAAAGGUAUUUGGUAUUUGAUAUUGGAUUCUAUACUAACUCUGCAGGGCUUCUGACAUGGGACACUCCCAGCCCUACCUGUUAUGCGGUUCUGUUUUAUGGGCCCAUAUUCUGCCCACAUUUCCGGUCUGAAGAGCUCACAAGUGGCUGCAUUGGACUGUGUAGCGUCUGUGUGGAUUUGCUCCAAGAAUCCCUUGCGCAUUUUCCUGGAGAGGACAAAACAGAUUUCACAAACUGCUGCUAGAACCCGAUCAGAAAGAUUUCCCCCUGCCCCCUUUCCUUUUCCACCAGAGAAGCCCGGUCUUCUUUUAUUCUUUCAAAAGUCCUUUCCGUAUUUAGCGGGAGCGGCAGCCAAGGCGCUGGGAACAUUCCCACAAAGGCAGCCAUUUCUCUGGGCCUACCUUCUCAUGUGGAGUGCUCUCCCCUUUGGUUCAAAGUGGUCCCUCUUAUCUUUUACUAUUCCUGCCGCCGCGGAAAGAAAACAGCGUGGGGCCCCCCAGAACGCUAAUGUGCACCAACCAGCGAAGAAAGGCUUCAAAUGGGUAUUUGUUCGCAGGGUCCACCGCUUCCAGAAAUGCAGGCCUCCAUUUAUCUCCUUUCGCUUCUUUGUACCGGCACCCUUCCUACCCCUCCUCAAGCCUCCUUUUCAAAGAUAUUAAUAAUGAACAUAUUUUCUCCAUGGAUGCUUUCAGUCAGCCUGAAUAGCUCCAGAGCAUCCUCAGAUUUCUCCCUGAUUCUGCUUCCUUCACAGGCUUACAGCAGCUACUAUUAUGCUAUAAGAUCCACUGUCCUGUGAUAUCAUAUAUGGGAUGUACGGUUGUUGACGAUUGUAAAUUUUUUUUUGCUGUAAAAAUAUGUGAGAUUACGAUAUUGUAUUUCUCUGCAUUAUCUAGAGUUUGUACUACUGAUGAAGCCCAGGACGGUGAAACAAGGCUAAUAUUCCAGAAAUCCUUGUCUUAGACUCUGUGAAAGGAUUCUGUGGAACUGUAACAACCUUUCGUAUGGAUUGUUGGACUCUAUGAACAGACAGGUGGAAUAGAAACUUACACAUAUAUGGACCUUAUGCACGAACUGAUUAGAGAAUGAACUGAUCCACUGGGUCUUCUACCUUUUUUGUUGAACUUUAUGAGCUACUUCUGUU